GGAAAGAAAGGGAUGAACUUCUAGAGCAGAAAAUAAAUGGUCAAGAAAGUAGCACUAACUGAAAUCUAAAAAAUAUACUGCAUCAAUAAAUUGAACCAUUUGCACAUCUAAUAUCUGGACAAAUAUAUGUACUUACACUCAAUGUAGACACUCAAUAGCCUUACACUACAGGAAUGGAGCCAGACGCCGACGGCCAAGCUCUACGCCGAGGGCUUUUUAUCGGGGCCGUCGGCGUACCUCCUCGCCAGGGCACCACCGGAACACGACCGUCGGCGUACACAUACCGUCGGAGUAGAGGAGGCUACACCGAGGGCGGCCGUCGGCGUCAACUUGGCCCUCGGCGUAGCACCGACAUCGCCCCUGCCCCAGUCCGCGCCGUCACCGCCCGCUCACGGCGUCAGUGUUGACGAGAUUCAUUGUUUCUGAAAUUGUAGCCUGAGUUCGAGGCGGCCUUCGAAGCCUGCAAUGAAGCGUAUCAGCAGGCCGCUGCCCAGUGGAUAGGCAGAAUACGGCCUACGUGGCGUAUAUAGGAGAAAUGAUGAUUUCUAUGUCUACUGGUACACCGCCACCGGCUCGAGUUACCGUGGCGGGGGACAUGCCUAUCAUGCCAUCGAGGGCAGCUUUCGCUGCGACUUACUACGGAUCCACACCGGAGGGAACGGGAUGCUCCGGGAACCAGGCCUCGCCGGGUGGGCGCGAGGUCACACCGGUUCAUGAAGGUGGUCAGUCUGCUGGGCGUUCUGCUGGUGCCUCUCCUUCGACUACUCUUGGGAGUACUCCCGGUGCCUCUCCGUCGACUUCUCCUGGGCGUAGCACCGGUCCUUCUCCAGGUGGUUCUUCUGCAGCUUCUACCAAAGCGCAACCCCGGGCUGUUCGUUUCGCCAACGAUAAGGGCGGACACACCCCGCCCGGAUCCUUCCUUCGCUAGUCGGCAUCGGGCUUCUUGCUUGCCAUCAUGUGCUACCUACUACUAUGUAUUGGAUGACAUGGCACUCUCCUCUUGUAUGCUAUUACAUGCACCAUGUAUGCUACUAUGUGAAUUUCAUGCUA